CAGAACUUCGCCUGUACUCGUUGUUCCUUUUUCCUAUGCACAUACCUCUUUGAGAAUUUGGUCUAAAGAGGCAUAGGGCAUGGGAAAAUGGGGCGAUGGAGGCUUCGUCUUCUCAUCG
rnacentral:pre_miRNA from 17 species